AUUGAACGCUGGCGGCAGGCCUAACACAUGCAAGUCGAACGGUAACAGGAAGCUGCUUGCUGCUUCGCUGACGAGUGGCGGACGGGAGAGGAAUGUCUGGGAAGCUGCCUGAUGGAGGGGGAUAACUACUGGAAACGGUAGCUAAGACCGCAUAAUGUCGCAAGACCAAAGAGGGGGACCUUCGGGCCUCUGGCCAUCGGAUGUGCCCAGAUGGGAUUGGCUUGUUGGUGGGGUAACGGCUCACCAAGGCGACGAUCCCUAGCUGGUCUGAGAGGAUGACCAGCCACACUGGCACUGAGACACGGUCCCGACUCCUACGGGAGGGAGCAGUGGGGAAUAUUGCACAAUGGGCGCAAGCCUGAUGCAGCCAUGCCGCGUGUAUGAAGAAGGCCUUCGGGUUGUAAAGUUCUUUCAGCGGGGAGGAAGGGAGUAACGUUAAUACCUUUGCUCAUUGACGUUACCCGCAGAAGAAGCACCGGCUAACUACGUG
rnacentral:rRNA from 1 species